AACGAACGCUGGCGGCGUGGAUUAGGCAUGCAAGUCGAGCGAGAAAGGGGAGCAAUCCCUGAGUAAAGCGGCGAACUGGUGAGUAACAGGUGGGCAAUGUGCCCCAAAGUGGGGGAUAACUCCGAGAAAUCGGAGCUAAUACCGCAUGUGGUGCCAUAGGCUUCGGCUCGUGACAUUAAAGAAGGGCUCCGCAAGGAGCAAUUCGCUAUGGGGAUCGGCCCGCCCCGGAUAGCUAGUUGGUGAGGUAACGGCUCACCAAGGCAACGAUCCGUAGCUGGUCUGAGAGGAUGGUCAGCCACACUGGAACUGAGAUACGGUCCAGACUCCUACGGGGGGCAGCAGUCUAGAGGCUUCGGCAAUGGGGGAAACCCUGACCGAGCGACGCCGCGUGUGGGAUUGAAGGCGUUUUCGUUGUAAACCACUGUGUAAGGGGAAGAAUGCCGGGAUGGCGAA
rnacentral:rRNA from 1 species